AUGAAUGGUGUCGUAAAUGAGGUCGCGGUAGAUCCGGGUUUGGAGUUGGUACUCAUCCCAGAGCGUCAGCAGCCGCACAACCGCAACCACAUCUUCGGCAUCGGCGGCGGUCCUUGCCUCAAACCACGCCCACUCGGCCUCCCACUGGCGCUGGAUCGCCGAGUCGAAGAGCCGGCCGCAGCGUCGGAAGGUCUUCCAUGCACGCGACGUCGGUCCAGCACUGCGGGACUUGGCGCCACGCGUGCACGCCACCUCCCCUUGCUUCUUCGACGCCGGAGAGCGGAGGCCAGAGCCGCCGGCCUCGUCGUCGUUCUGGCGCUUGCGGGCGAAGAAGCCGCCACGCGCAUCGACUCCACAGCAACACCUGAAGCCACCACGAUUGCCGAACCCCCUUCCGCCGCCACGCCCCGCACCGGCGGAUGCCAUGGUAUCUUCGAUCCGGCGGAAAACAGGCUGCAAUAG
rnacentral:rRNA from 1 species